rnacentral:ncRNA from 1 species
AAAACGGCCCUUUUCAGGGCCACAAAAAUAAAUACAAACACAUACU